UGACGUCAUCAGUGACGUCACUGAUGACGUCAUCAGUAAUGAUGACGAUGACGAUGCGGAUGCUGGUGACGUCAUCAGUGACGUCACUGAUGACGUCAU
rnacentral:pre_miRNA from 1 species